rnacentral:lncRNA from 1 species
GGCGAGCUGGGCGGGGCGCACGGCGCGCCGGGAAUUUGAGGACGCUCUGGCAGCUGGUCGGGCGGCUGAGUUCGCUUGGGAUGAUUACCAUUAUUUUAAUGUGAUACACAAUGCUACGAUGAACAUCCCUGUAUCUGCAACUUUAUGCUUUUACCUGAUUAUUUCCUUAGGAUGAAUCUCCAGAAGGGGAUUUUUUAGAUGGAAAAGGCAUGAAAAAAGGAUGAUCAUAGUGAGGAAUGUGAGAAAGAAUACAGAACUGGGAACGGAGAUAUUUGGGAACAGAUAUUGCUGGGAAUUCAGCCACUCUGAUGUGAGGCAGCCCAAGCAGCCCAUGGAGAGAUCUGUGUGGAGAAAAACCAAGGUCCCUGACAACAGUCUCAGCAGAGUCCCCAGCCAGGAACCAGCAGUAACUGCCAGCCUUGUGAGUGAGACCAUUUAGACCUCUAGUCAUCCCAGCACCCCCACUGACACCAUGACCCCUGACAAAGAAGAGAAACUACUUUGCCAGUCACUGCCUGAAUUCCUGACUCACAGAAUCAUGAGCAAAUAAACAAUUUUUGUUUUAAGCAA